UUGACUAUUAAAUAUAUUAUCGGAUUAGGAACUUGGAUUUGUUAGGAUAAAUUGGAUGGAUAUUGUUAAGAAAUUUUAUGAUCUAAUCUAUUUAUGUUAUACACUGUAGAAGCUUUUGUUUUUGAAACAUUUUGUAAUAAAAAAAAACAAAAUAUUUGUAGACAUUCAAAAUGUUACAUCAUUAAACUAUAUAUAUAAUAUAUAUACAGUGAAACGUCUAUAAAUUAAUAAUGUUGGGUUUAGAGCAAAACUAUAAAUUUUUUUAUUAAUAUAUAGAGAUAUUAAUUUAUAGAUAUACUAAUUAAAUCAAAAAUUCGAUUUGAGACUAUAAAAUAUAGAGAUUUUCGGUUUAUAUUAAUUUUCAGAUUUUUCAGAUCUCGGCGUUUCUUCCAAGUUGACUCAGUGGGAGUCCUCCUCCUUAGUCGGUGUGACUUUCGGCGGAGAUUGGUAGGUUUCUCCGGUUCUCCGGAAGCAUCGUUUUCAUCCUGGGCCCUACAUCCCAGCGCCGGCGAUGGAUCUCCGGUCUCGUCCGGUGUUUGCUGUUCCGGUUAUCGUUGCUGUCAUCGGGUCCGCUUUCAGUGUAUUUUGGCGUUGGAGCGAGUAUCGAGUCCGGUGGUGGCGGUUUGUUUACAUCCGCCGCCUACCACAUUGAAGCUGUGCCUUUCCACUUCAAUGUAAUCUCUUCUUCUCCUCUGUCCUCUGUGAACCUGAGUUGCGAUGCCUUGGCCUGCUCUGCUCUCGUAUGUGGAUCUCGGAUUGGUGUUGGCUGUAACAUGAGCGGUAUGAGGCAAGAGUUGGUCCCUGGUUCUGUGUCAAUCAGUCUUGGUUGAUGGGUUCGGCAUUGUCUGGAUACCGAGUCUGCUUUUGCUCGUCUUGGAUACAUAUACAGGCUAGGCCAUCAUGACUUGGUCAUAAUAUUUGGAGCAAGACUCAUUUGCACUGUUUUGGCUUGCACUCACGAAUAGCUGCGACCCCACCAAAUGAGCUUCAUAAUUUUUCUUUCUUACACUUAUUAGCAUUAUUGUUUCUUUUUGAUACAGGUUUUACAAAAUUAUCAUGGAAAAUACUUGUUGAUUUGUUUAGUUGCAGAGAUCAUCUCUGUACUAACUAAAAUUUUGACUCUCUUUGUCUUCUGCACAAAACACAACACAGCGACCAAAUGGUAUUAUUUCUCUUCUCUUCACUCAGAUAUCUCUACCUCAGGGGACUUGUCUUGUUGCUUCUCAAGUGAUAUCAAGAUCAUCAACUUUGAGGGCACGAUCUUUGAUGGGGGAGGAGUAUUAACACUAAACACCUUGUAUGACAAAACUAUGAGUUGUAUAAUGUAUAUCUUUGUAUAAUGUAUAUCUAGUCCACUUACAUUGUUGUUGGCUUGGAAAUUUUCAAAGUAGAGUUGAGAGGGAGA